UUAGAGUUUGAUUUUGGCUCAGGAUAAACGCUAGCGGCGCGCCUAAUGCAUGCAAGUCGAGCGAUGAUCCUUCGGGGUCAUAGCGGCAGACGGGUGAGUAACACGUGGGUGACCUGCCCCAAAGCCGGUGGAUAACGACUGGAAACGGUUGCUAAUACCCGAUGUGCUCGGUAAUUCGUUUUACCGAGUAAAGUUCCGGCGCUUUGGGAGGGGCCCGCGGCCCAUCAGCUAGUUGGUAGGGUAGAGGCCUACCAAGGCGAUGACGGGUAGGGGACCUGAGAGGGUGGCCCCCCACAAUGGAACUGAAACACGGUCCAUACACCUACGGGUGGCAGCAGUGAGGAAUAUUGGUCAAUGGGCGCAAGCCUGAACCAGCCAUCCCGCGUGCAGGAAGACGGCCCUAUGGGUUGUAAACUGCUUUUCCAGGGGGAGAAUUUUUCUGUCGUGACAGGAAUUGACGGUACCCUGGGAAUAAGCAUCGGCUAACUCCGUGCCAGCAGCCGCGGUAAUACGGAGGAUGCGAGCGUUAUCCGGAUUUAUUGGGUUUAAAGGGUGCGUAGGCGGAUUGAUAAGUCAGUGGUGAAAACCUGCAGCUUAACUGUAGACUUGCCGUUGAUACUGUCAGUCUUGAGUGUGGUCAAGGUAGGCGGAAUGUGUAAUGUAGCGGUGAAAUGCUUAGAUAUUACACAGAACACCGAUUGCGAAGGCAGCUUACUGGGCCAUUACUGACGCUGAUGCACGAAAGCGUGGGGAUCGAACAGGAUUAGAUACCCUGGUAGUCCACGCCGUAAACGAUGAUCACUCGCUGUUAGCGAUACACAGUUAGCGGCUAAGCAAAAGCAUUAAGUGAUCCACCUGGGGAGUACGGCCGCAAGGCUGAAACUCAAAGGAAUUGACGGGGGCCCGCACAAGCGGAGGAACAUGUGGUUUAAUUCGAUGAUACGCGAGGAACCUUACCUGGGCUUAAAUGUAGAGUGCAUUCAGCUGAAAGGCUGAUUUCCUUCGGGACUUUCUGCAAGGUGCUGCAUGGUUGUCGUCAGCUCGUGCCGUGAGGUGUCGGGUUAAGUCCCAUAACGAGCGCAACCCUUAUCGUUAGUUGCCAGCGGGUAAUGCCGGGAACUCUAACGAAACUGCCGGUGUAAACCGAGAGGAAGGUGGGGAUGACGUCAAAUCAGCACGGCCCUUAUGUCCAGGGCUACACACGUGUUACAAUGGCCGGUACAGAGGGCAGCUAUGCCGCGAGGCAAUGCGAAUCUCGAAAGCCGGUCUCAGUUCGGAUCGGAGUCUGCAACUCGACUCCGUGAAGCUGGAUUCGCUAGUAAUCGCGCAUCAGCCAUGGCGCGGUGAAUACGUUCCCGGGCCUUGUACACACCGCCCGUCAA
rnacentral:rRNA from 1 species